AGCGAACGCUGGCGGCAGGCUUAACACAUGCAAGUCGAGCGCCCCGCAAGGGGCGCGGCAGACGGGAGAGAAACACGUGGGAACAUACCUUUUGGUUCGGAACAACUGAGGGAAACUUCAGCUAAUACCGGAUAAGCCCUUACGGGGAAAGAUUUAUCGCCGAAAGAUUGGCCCGCGUCUGAUUAGCUAGUUGGUGAGGUAACGGCUCACCAAGGCGGCGAUCAGUAGCUGGUCUGAGAGGAUGAUCAGCCUCACUGGGACUGAGACACGGCCCAGACACCUACGGGAGGCAGCAGUGGGGAAUAUUGGACAAUGGGGGCAACCCUGAUCCAGCCAUGCCGCGUGAGUGAUGAAGGCCUUAGGGUUGUAAAGCUCUUUUGCCCGGGAAGAUAAUGACGGUACCGGGAGAAUAAGCCCCGGCUAACUUCGUG
rnacentral:rRNA from 1 species